AUUGAACGCUGGCGGCAGGCCUAACACAUGCAAGUCGAACGGUAACAGGAAGCAGCUUGCUGCUUCGCUGACGAGUGGCGGACGGGUGAGUAAUGUCUGGGAAGCUGCCUGAUGGAGGGGGAUAACUACUGGAAACGGUAGCUAAUACCGCAUAAUGUCGCAAGACCAAAGAGGGGGACCUACGGGCCUCUUGCCAUCGGAUGUGCCCAGAUGGGAUUAGCUUGUUGGUGGGGUAACGGCUCACCAAGGCGACGAUCCCUAGCUGGUCUGAGAGGAUGACCAGCCACACUGGGACUGAGACACGGUCCAGACUCCUACGGGAGGCAGCAGUGGGGAAUAUUGCACAAUGGGCGCAAGCCUGAUGCAGCCAUGCCGCGUGUAUGAAGAAGGCCUUCGGGUUGUAAAGUACUUUCAGCGGGGAGGAAGGGAGUAAAGUUAAUACCUUUGCUCAUUGACGUUACCCGCAGAAGAAGCACCGGCUAACUCCGUG
rnacentral:rRNA from 1 species